UACGUAGGGUGCGAGCGUUAAUCGGAAUUACUGGGCGUAAAGCGUGCGCAGGCGGUUCGUUAUGUCCGAUGUGAAAGCCCCGAGCUCAACUUGGGAAUGGCAUUGGAAACUGGCGGGCUGGAGUGUGGCAGAGGGGGGUGGAAUUCCUGGUGUAGCAGUGAAAUGCGUAGAUAUCAGGAGGAAUACCGAUGGCGAAGGCAGGUCUCUGGGCUGACACUGACGCUCAUGCACGAAAGCGUGGGGAGCGAACAGG
rnacentral:rRNA from 1 species